AUGUGUGGGGGUCUGGGGAUCCAGGUGAGGAACAAGAGCACCUUCCCAGCCAUGACAUUUCCCGAGUCAGUCAGAGGCUGGCAGUCGACCUGGUUCUACUGCCAGGAUCAGUCGACGCCGGGACAGUCGAGUGGACUCCCUCAGUUCACCAUGGGCCGAGUGAGCAAGCCCUCCUCUCUGAAGGUGAUUCCGGAGGAGAAAGCUGACGUGAAGAUGCUGAUGGAGCGUGUAGUUCAGUUGGUUCUGGAGGGAGUGACGGGUAUGGAUCUCCUAGAGGUUUUUCUUAGGCGUCGUAUCCAGCCUCUUCAGUUCCGGAGCCAUUGCAUGUGGUUGUACCGCGGGACUGAGGAUGUGACUCGGGUCAAUCCAGAAGCAGUCGACGAUGCCACUCUGGAAAGGUGGAUGGCCGCUGUUACUGGGAACAAGGAUAACCCUCGCGGAGCCAGAAGGAUUCCUCCGCUCGACCACCACAGUGAUCCAAACAAGGCCCUCACUGAGCUGUACUCGAUGCCCAAUGGAGCACAGGCUCCGACUGAGGAGGGAGAAGCGAGCGGGGGCGAGAGCCAGGAGGAGGAGUGGGACUCGGACGCCGCUGAGGAUGAUGAUGAUGACGAUGACGAUGAAGAUGAUGAUGAUGAUGAGGAGGAGGAGGAGGAGGACGAAGAAGAGGAGGAGGAGGAGGUCGCACCACCGCGCUCGGAAAGGCGGUCGAAACUUGUCCAUGACCCUGCGACUGAACAUGGCAAGGGGAUUGCGACUGUUACACAGUCGACCAAGCGCCCUCGGACCACCUCUCUAGCGCCGACUGAAAAGGCGUCGAAGCAGCCCAGGGCGGCCCCGUCAAAGCCGACCAAGCUCCUGCCGAAGAUGAAGGUGUCCAUCCCCACCAUAUCAGGUGCUGCUACUUCUGAGACCUCAGCCCGGGCUGACGGCCAUGAGAUGGAGGACGCAGCAACCUCAAAACCUGCUCCAUCCAAUGUUGUUAUCACUCUCCCUGAUGAUGAUGAAGAUGAGGAACCGCUGAAGCACAGAAGGAGUAGGAAAGCGUCUGCUGGCAGGGUGCCCCAGGAUGUGACGGUGCCUGAGACUCUGGUCGCGGAGGAGGAGAACACCACUCGACACACUGUGUCCUUCGCAGAUCCACUGACGAGUGCUCUGCAGCCCUCCCUCUUCACGACGCACCACGUCCUAGAGGACCAAGCUGGCGCCGCGAAGGAGGCGAUACGCCAGGCAGGGAUCAUGAUGGAGCAGUUGAAGACCAUCCGGGAUGCAAGCCAGGCAGCUUACGACGCCAGUUCCGCCCUUCAAAGCAAUGUUCAGAGAUCCUGUGACCUUGCGGCUCGCUACACUGAGCUGAAAAACAAGCACAUUCAGCUCGAGCUGGAUUUGAAGCUGGCUCAGGAGAAUCUGACGAAGGCAAAGGAGGAGACCAAAGGUAAGGUGAAGGAGGACCAACAGAAAAAAGACCUUGAACUAGCUGAGAACAUCAAGCUUGCUGACGAGAAGUUAGCUUCAGUCACCAAGCUUGAGCAAGAAAAUACCAAUCUGAAAGCUGCUCUUGAGAAGAAAAAUGAUCUCGAGGCCUUCCAGAGUGGUCUUGCCAAGAAGCUGUUCCUUAUGCUUGAAGAAUUUUGUCAAGACUUUGAAGAAGAGACUAGCCGGCUGGAACCAAACCUUGACCCCGUCAAUUCUCCGGUGAACGACGAAGUUGCCAUGAAUGUUUUCCGACUGGAGUCCCGUGUUGCAGCUGUCGUGGACUAUCUUGCAAGGCUGAAGGUCGGCACAUCUCGCAUCGACUCAACGCUCUGGCCCAGGGAGACACUCCAACACGACCUCGAGUCGCUGAUGGCUCGCUUGAACACAGUCCCUGGUCGAGUGCAGGAGUGGAAAAAGUCCUCGGCUCGGUGCGGUGCAGAUGUUGCUCUGUGUCUGGCCCGAGUCCACUGCAAAGAUGCGCGAGAAGACAAGCUGGCGGCCCUCCGGGUGGCCAACACCAAGAAACACGACUUCAGGUCCUUUAUGGAAACUUUCAUUGCUGCUGCCACUCGGAUCGCAGAUGGAAUUGAUCUUGAUGAGUUUGUUGCACCUUCCAGCCCUCCCCAGGAGGGGUAA
rnacentral:rRNA from 1 species